AGAAUCAACGCUGGCGGCGUGCCUAACACAUGCAAGUCGAACGAGAAAGUGGGAGCAAUCCCACGAGUAAAGUGGCGCACGGGUGAGUAACACGUGACUAACCUACCCUUGAGUGGGGGAUAACCUAGGGAAACCUGGGCUAAUACCGCAUAAUACCUACGGGUCAAAGGAGCAAUUCGCUUUAGGAGGGGGUCGCGGCAGAUUAGUUAGUUGGCGGGGUAAUGGCCCACCAAGACAGUGAUCUGUAUCCGGCCUGAGAGGGCGCACGGACACACUGGAACUGAAACACGGUCCAGACUCCUACGGGAGGCAGCAGUGGGGAAUUUGCGCAAUGGGGAAACCCUGACGCAGCAACGCCGCGUGGAGGAUGAAGCCCCUUGGGCGUAAACUCCUUUCGAUCGGAAGAUAAUGACGGUACCGGAAGAAGAAGCCCGGCUAACUUCGCGCCAGCAGCCGC
rnacentral:rRNA from 1 species